GGCAGGAAGGGGUUCUAAAGAGAGCGUAGGGGAGAGGGUUGUCUAGGAAGCGGUCCCCUUUGAGCAGGGGAAUGGAGCGGGUUCCUCUGAAAUAUGACAGUAGUGUGCCCUGGGCAGGGCGGUUCCAGGCUGUGCGUGUCGUUGUGUAGUGCGUCUGUGUGUUGGGUGUGUUUGACCUUCCUCGGGUCUCGGGUGUUCUUUGUUCCGCAGGAUCUCGAGGCAGGUGCCUCGGCAGCGUUAGUAGGGCCCGGCGAGGCCCUAGUCGUGGGCACGGCGCCCAUUGGGCGCUUCUCUUUUGGCGUCGCAAGCUUCCAGCGUGGAUCGUUUUGGCGUCUCGGGUGGUUCUGGCCGGUGGUCUUGUGCCGCGCCGUUCCCGGCCACGUGAGCGGCUCUGCUCACUCCCAGUCGCUUUUAGGGACUGGCGCUUCUUCCUUGCAUCUUCAGGGGCUGAGGUCUUGAAGGCGGGCUGCUUGCGCAUCCGUCUCGUCAGUUUUGAGAGGAAGCGCUUGUCCCCGCCCACGAAGGUGUCGUCGUUUUCUGGCGUGGCGCUAGGAGCACGCUAGGGUCCUGCGCCUGCUCUUACCGCAUGGAGGUUUUCUGUCCGUGCGUCGUCGCUCUCGCCGACCAGCUUGGCUUGUAUUUUGAGGCGUGUUGUUGUUGGCGUUCUGUGUAGGGUUCGCCUGUGGUUGUGGUGUCUUGGCUUGGAGCCGCCCUGCCCGGGGGUGUCGAGUCAGGGCAAGGUGGCACAGGAACGAUGAGAGGCUAUGGCUUAUGUGUCAAAGUGCCUUGCUUCUUUGGGGGAAAUGAUGUGUGGCCCUCCUAGAUCGAGCGGCCGUUGUCAGUGGGUGAGAAGAAGAAUUCCCAUGGUGUUUUGUGGCUUCCCAGGGGCUGACGGUAGCUGUCGGGGAGAGGGAGCUCCUGCGUCAGCGGAGCAGAGAGCAUCUCAAGGGCGUUCCGGCUUGGAGGUGGGUCGGGCGUAAUGCUUGGUUUACGGUGCUUAGAUGGCAGAGCAGGCCUAGCUGGGCUCUCGAUGGGCUUGCUACCUGGGAACAAGGCCUGUGGAAUGGCUAAGCUAUUGCUGUUCAUUGAGGGGACUUGUUUGAUAUUUUGGCAGAUGCCGAGGGAGGAGUCGUGCAGGGCGACGGAGGAGGGCCGAGGAUAGCGCUGUAAGCAGGUGGUGGUCGAGCUUGAACAUGGCAGUUGGAACUGAUGGCGUCCAGGUGCCGCAAUCAGCCUUCAGAGGGGAGACGACGCAUGU